CCAUGAAGCUGGAUUCGCUAGUAAUCGCGCAUCAGCCACGGCGCGGUGAAUACGUUCCCGGGCCUUGUACACACCGCCCGUCAAGCCAUGGAAGCCGGGAGUGCCUGAAGUGUGCAACCGCAAGGAGCGCCCUAAGGUAAAACCGGUGACUGGGGCUAAGUCGUAACAAGGUACC
rnacentral:rRNA from 1 species